UACGGGGGGGGCAAGCGUUGUUCGGAAUUACUGGGCGUAAAGGGCUCGUAGGCGGCCAACUAAGUCAUACGUGAAAUCCCCAGGCUCAACCUGGGAACUGCGUCUGAUACUGGUUGGCUUGAAUCCGGGAGAGGGAUGCAGAAUUCCAGGUGUAGCGGUGAAAUGCGUAGAUAUCUGGAGGAAUACCGGUGGCGAAGGCGGCAUCCUGGACCAUUACUGACACUGAAAAGCGAAAGCCAGGGGAGCAAACGGG
rnacentral:rRNA from 1 species